rnacentral:lncRNA from 1 species
GGUCUCACCGGAGAAGAAGACUCCUAUCGGGAGUCUUCUUCCUGAUUUUUUCCUCUUUUUUUUUUUUUUUGAAUGGGCUUGGGUCUGUUAAUCUGGGCUUGGGUUUUUGGGCUAUGACAAUUCAUCAAUGGAUAAAAUGUAUUAUCAAAAGAAUAUGCAACAAAGCUUAACUUUAAAGUUCAACUAAUGUUCCUCCUAGACAGGCACAUA